rnacentral:rRNA from 1 species
ACGAACGCUGGCGGUGUGCUUCACACAUGCAAGUCGAACGAGGUAGCAAUACCUAGUGGCGGACGGGUGAGUAACACGUGGGAAUCUGCCUUUAAGUGGGGGAUAACUGACCGAAAGGUUAGCUAAUACCCCAUACGUCGCAAGAUAAAAGUAGCAAUACGCUUGAAGAUGAGCCCGCGUCCGAUUAGCUAGUUGGUAAGGUAAAGGCUUACCAAGGCACCGAUCGGUAGCUGGUCUGAGAGGAUGAUCAGCCACAAUGGGACUGAGACACGGCCCAUACUCCUACGGGAGGCAGCAGUGGGGAAUUUUACACAAUGGGGGAAACCCUGAUGUAGCGACACCGCGUGAGCGAAGAAGCCCUUUGGGGUGUAAAGCUCUGUCAGCAGGGACGAAAAAAAUGACGGUACCUGCAGAGGAAGCAUCGGCUAACUACGU